rnacentral:rRNA from 1 species
GAUUAACGCUGGCGGCGUGCCUAAUGCAUGCAAGUCGUACGGUCUUAAGCAAUUAAGAUAGUGGCAAACGGGUGAGUAACGCGUGAGUAACCUACCCCGAAGUGUGGAACAACUCUGGGAAACCAGGGCUAAUGCCGCAUGUGGUAGUUCUUCUUAAGAAGGAUUAUUAAAGCCGCAAGGCGCUUCGGGAGGGGCUUGCGUCCUAUCAGGUAGUUGGUGGGGUAAGGGCUCACCAAGCCGAUGACGGGUAGCUGGUCUGAGAGGACGACCAGCCACACUGGGACUGAGACACGGCCCAGACUCCUACGGGAGGCAGCAGCAGGGAAUUUUGCGCAAUGGACGAAAGUCUGACGCAGCAACGCCGCGUGGGGGAAGAAGGCCUUCGGGUUGUAAACCUCUUUUCUCAGGGAAGAAUAAUGACGGUACCUGGGGAAUAAGUCUCGGCUAACUACGUGCCAGCCGCCGCAGUAAAAC